rnacentral:rRNA from 1 species
AUUGAACGCUGGCGGCAUGCCUUACACAUGCAAGUCGAACGGCAGCACGGGAGCAAUCCUGGUGGCGAGUGGCGAACGGGUGAGUAAAGUAUCGGAACGUGCCCAGUCGUGGGGGAUAACGUAGCGAAAGUUACGCUAAUACCGCAUACGAUCUAUGGAUGAAAGCGGGGGAUCGCAAGACCUCGCGCGAUUGGAGCGGCCGAUAUUAGAUUAGGUAGUUGGUGGGGUAAAGGCUCACCAAGCCGACGAUCUGUAGCUGGUCUGAGGGGACGACCAGCCACACUGGGACUGAGACACGGCCCAGACUCCUACGGGAGGCAGCAGUGGGGAAUUUUGGACAAUGGGCGAAAGCCUGAUUCAGCCAUGCCGCGUGCAGGAUGAAGGCCUUCGGGUUGUAAACUGCUUUUGUACGGAACGAAAAGGUUUGGGCUAAUAAGCUGAGCUCAUGACGGUACCGUAAGAAUAAGCACCGGCUAACUACGUGCCAGCCGCCGCGGUAA